rnacentral:lncRNA from 1 species
AAUAUAUAAAUAUUAAUGGUUUGUUUAUGAACUAUAUUGAUGAAAUUUGCAUUUUUGUGAUGAAAGAAAUACUUACAUGCAUGUUUUAUUAUGGAUGAUUUAUUUAUAUACUUUGACCCUAUACAUGUAUAAUUUAGAAAAAUAUGAUUUAAGAAAUAUGAAAAAGGUCUCUCAGAUAUAUAUAGAUAUAUAUAUGUAUGUAUGUAUGUCUCCUAAAAGUGGGGU